GACGAACGCUGGCGGCGUGCCUAAUACAUGCAAGUAGAACGCACAGUUUAUACCGUAGCUUGCUACACCAUAGACUGUGAGUUGCGAACGGGUGAGUAACGCGUAGGUAACCUGCCUGGUAGCGGGGGAUAACUAUUGGAAACGAUAGCUAAUACCGCAUAAUAUUAAUUAUUGCAUGAUAAUUGAUUGAAAGAUGCAACUGCAUCACUACCAGAUGGACCUGCGUUGUAUUAGCUAGUAGGUAAGGUAACGGCUCACCUAGGCAACGAUACAUAGCCGACCUGGGAGGGUGAUCGGCCACACUGGACUGAGACACGGCCCAGACCCCUACGGGAGGCAGCAGUAGGGAAUCUUCGGCAAUGGACGAAAGUCUGACCGAGCAACGCCGCGGGAGGGAAGAAGGUUUUCGGAUCGUAAAGAUCUGUUGUAAGAGAAGAACGGGUGUGAGAGGGGAAAGUUCACACUGUGACGGUAUCUUACCAGAAAGGGACGGCUAACUACGUG
rnacentral:rRNA from 1 species